UACGAAAGGUCCAAGCGUUACUCGGAAUUACUGGGCGUAAAGCGCACGUAGGCGGAUUGGUCAGUUAGGGGUGAAAUCCUGGAGCUCAACUCCAGAACUGCCUUUAAUACUGCCAGUCUCGAGUCCGGAAGAGGUAAGUGGAACUCCUAGUGUAGAGGUGGAAUUCGUAGAUAUUAGGAAGAACACCAGUGGCGAAGGCGGCUUACUGGUCCGGUACUGACGCUGAGGUGCGAAAGCGUGGGGAGCAAACAGG
rnacentral:rRNA from 1 species